rnacentral:rRNA from 1 species
UACGGAAGAUGCGAGCGUUAUCCGGAUUUAUUGGGUUUAAAGGGAGCGUAGGCGGAUUGUUAAGUCUGCGGUAAAAUGUCGAUGCUCAACGUCGGCCUGCCGUGGAAACUGGCGAUCUUGAAUGUGCACAAGGAAGGUGGAAUUCGUGGUGUAGCGGUGAAAUGCUUAGAUAUCACGAAGAACUCCGAUUGCGAAGGCAUCCUUCUGGGGCAUGAUUGACGCUGAGGCUCGAAAGCGCGGGUAUC